AUUUUCCAUGGAGAAAAAGUUGGCCGGGGUGGCAGUUAUGUGUUUCGGAAGCACCUUCUAAUCAGGGGUGGGUGAUUCAUGAUUAGCUUCAGCAGCGGAUCCAUCUGACAUGGAAGGGGAAAAAUUAGCAGCUGUCACUGCUUGAUGAGUUAAUUUCCUGAUGGGUCUGACACUGAAAAGCCAUUUGGAGACAUGGCUGUGGCUGAUGAGAAAACCUGGGACUGCUUUUAUAACUGGAGAUAAAGACAGGGCAGACAAGCUGCCUGGGAAGGCCUGUCAAUCUACUGGGACUAUUGGUGUCUGUGCUGGGGCUCAGGCUGAAGCCACACUGCCCAUGUUGUUGGCCACCUACUCUGAUGGAGACGCUGUGGAAACUCCAGGGGACCAAAGGGCAGCUCCAGGAAUACAUGAGUUCUCUGGAAAACAGGGAUGGCCCCGGGGGACAUCAACAGCCACUGUACCACAUGGAGGGCACCGACCUGGAGUUUGCAGCUCCUUCUGCUCUGCUUUUAGAGGACACAGAUGGAGAGACGCCUCACUGUCUCUGGGCUCUGGUUUCUCUCCCAGAAGAGCAAAAAGCUCCCUAA
rnacentral:lncRNA from 1 species